rnacentral:rRNA from 1 species
UACGUAGGGUGCGAGCGUUGUCCGGAAUUAUUGGGCGUAAAGGGUGCGUAGGCGGCGAGGUAAGUCGGAUGUGAAAUCCCAGGGCUCAACCCUGGAACUGCAUUCGAUACUGCCUUGCUCGAGUACUGGAGAGGAGACUGGAAUUUACGGUGUAGCAGUGAAAUGCGUAGAUAUCGUAAGGAAGACCAGUGGCGAAGGCGAGUCUCUGGACAGUUACUGGACG